UGGGGAAUAUUGCACAAUGGAGGGAACUCUGAUGCAGCGACGCCGCGUGAACGAAGAAGGCUUUCGCGUCGUAAAGUUCUUUUAUAUGGGAAGAUAAUGACGGUACCAUAAGAAAAAGCCCCGGCUAACUACGUGCCAGCAGCCGCGGUAAUACGUAGGGGGCUAGCGUUGUCCGGAAUCACUGGGCGUAAAGGGUUCGCAGGCGGAAAUGCAAGUCAGGUGUAAAAGGCAGUAGCUUAACUACUGUAAGCAUUUGAAACUGGAUAUCUUGAGAAGAGUAGAGGUAAGUGGAAUUUUUAGUGUAGCGGUGAAAUGCGUAGAUAUUAAAAAGAAUACCGGUGGCGAAGGCGACUUACUGGGCUCAUUCUGACGCUGAGGAACGAAAGCGUGGGUAGCAAACAGG
rnacentral:rRNA from 1 species